rnacentral:rRNA from 1 species
UACAGAGGUCCCAAGCGUUGUUCGGAUUCACUGGGCGUAAAGGGUGCGUAGGUGGUCGGGUAAGUCCGAUGUGAAAUCUCCAGGCUCAACCUGGAAAUGGCAUUGGAUACUAUCCGGCUUGGAGGAGUGGAGGGGGGACUGGAAUUCUCGGUGUAGCAGUGAAAUGCGUAGAUAUCGAGAGGAACACCAGUGGCGAAAGCGGCUCACUGGACCAUAACUGACGCUGGAUGCACGAAAAGCUGGGGGGAGCAAACAGG